rnacentral:rRNA from 1 species
AGUGAACGCUGGCGGUAGGCCUAACACAUGCAAGUCGAACGGCAGCACAGUAAGAGCUUGCUCUUACGGGUGGCGAGUGGCGGACGUGUGAGGAAUACAUCGGAAUCUACUUUUUCGUGGGGGUUAACGUAGGGAAACUUACUCUAAUACCGCAUACGCCCUACGGUUGAAAGCAGUGGAUCUUCGGACCUUGCGCGAUUGAAUGAGCCGAUGUCGGAUUAGCUAGUUGGCGGGGUAAAGGCCCACCAAGUCGCGGAUCCGUAGCUGGACUGAGAGGAUGAUCAGCCACACUGGAAGGGAGACACGGUCCAGAGUCCUACGGGAGGGAGCAGUGGGGAAUAGUGGACAAUGGGGGGGAGCCUGAUCCAGCCAUACCGCGUCGGUGAAGAAGGCCUUCGGGUUGUAAAGCCCUUUUGUUGGGAAAGAAAAGCAGCAGGUUAAUACCCCGCUGUUCUGACGGUACCCAAAGAAUAAGCACCGGCUAACUUCGUG